rnacentral:ribozyme from 1 species
AGACGAUAAACUCAUCAUUGUCUUACAGGGUGUAGUUCGUAGUAAUAAAGUAAAAGGAAAGAAAAGAAAAGGUAUAAUAUAUUAUGGUA